rnacentral:tRNA from 1 species
AAAGGGAGACCUAAUUCAGGUAAAAGACGAAAAAAAAGUAGUCGCUACCAAGAAUCAAUCCCAAAAGGUCGGAGCGAGGCGAAAUUGGCUUUCAAACUAGGUUCUGGGUUCAAACAAGACCUGAAUCAGGAACAAGGGCUAUUAGCUCAGGUGGUUAGAGCGCACCCCUGAUAAGGGUGAGGUCCCUGGUUCGAGUCCAGGAUGGCCCACCUGCACAGGUGGCAAAAACAAGAGAAGCGAGGAAUCAGCACCUUAUCUUACUUAUGUAGUAAGAGAGAAUGCUGGCUCUGAGUAAAGAGUCCAGAGGAACCUUGAAAACUGCAUAGAGCUAGGUGAAAAAGCCAAAAAAGAAGACCGCAAG